rnacentral:rRNA from 1 species
CAGCAGCCGCGGGAAUACGAAGGGGGCUAGCGUUGCUCGGAAUGACUGGGCGUAAAGCAUGCGCAGGCCGUUUGUUAAGACAGAUGUGAAAUCCCCGGGCUCAACCUGGGAACUGCAUUUGUGACUGGCAAGCUAGAGUGUGGCAGAGGGGGGUGGAAUUCCGCGUGUAGCAGUGAAAUGCGUAGAUAUGCGGAGGAACACCGAUGGCGAAGGCAGCCCCCUGGGCCAACACUGACGCUCAUGCACGAAAGCGUGGGGAGCAAACAGGAUUAGAUACCCCUGUAGUCCCUGUCUCUUAUCC